UUUGCUCUCGAAUAACUGAAUGAGUUAUUGAUCUCUGUUCGGUUCAGACAGGAGCAUAUAGUGACGGUAUCGAACUUGUUGCUCGGAUCGUUAUUUAAUCUUCUGUAUUAGUUUGGAGUUUU
rfam:Helianthus annuus linkage group 9, whole genome shotgun sequence.